AGCUAUUUUCUUAUUUUAUCAUUUCUUUUUAAAGUGCUUUUAAUUUGUAUUUUUACUAUAUAUAUGUGUAUAUAUUCAUUUUUAGUUUCCUUUCAUUGUAUUCAAUUUUAUUUUUAUACCUAUAUAGGUUUUCCUUUCUUUCCUAUUUUGGGAUCUAGUUUCUUCUAACAAAAAGAUCAAAAUACACCCAAGAUCUAGUCUAUUUUUGUGUUCUCUUUUACUUUUUUGGUGGAUUUCUCUCUCUCCUCUCCCUCUUUCUCUGUCUCUCUCUGUCUCUUUCUAUAUAUUUUUAUGUGUUCUUUCAUUUUGUUUGUAUUUUCUGGCAUUGUUGUUGCUAUAUUUAUAGUUUAUCUCUCUUUCAUCUAUUCUUUUCUGAAAAUAAGGAAAAGACAGAGAAACUCACCCAAAAGAAAGAACAGAAAGAAGUACUCACUGCCAGGUAUUUAAUCAAUAUGGCUAUAAAUAAGAUGUUAUUACUACCAUUCAAAACCAUGAUUAUAAAGAUAUUAGCUGGGCAUAAAAAACCAUAGAAGACUCUACAGAAUCCCUUGGUGGAGAAAUAAAAGAACUAAAAUCUAAUCAGACCAAAAUCAAAGAGGUUAUUAUUGAGAUGCAGUAAAAAAAAAUGGAGUCUCUGAAGAUAAAUGAGGCAAUAGAGAAAGUCAGUGAUAUAAGAAAAAAUAAUAGAAAUUAAGGAAGUGAGAAAAAGAGAGAGAAACAACCACUGGGUCAUAAAGGGAGACUUUGAUAAAUCAGCAAUAACAUAAAACAAAAUAAUAUUAAAAUAUUAGAGAUCCCAGAAGGGGGGGAGAAGUUUAUUUGAAAAAUUAUAGCUGAAAAUUUCCCUAAUCUGGAGAAGGAAACAAACACUCACAUCUGAAAGGCACAGAGGACCCCCCCAAAAUAUUCAAUAAAAUAUGUCAACACCUUGACAUGUAACAAUGAAGCUUGCAAAUAUCAGAGAUAAAGAGAAAAUCCUGAAAGCAGCUCGGGACAAGAGUUUCCUAACCUACAAGGGUAGAUUACAUAAGCCUGGCAGCAGGCAGGUCCAUAGAGACCUGUCAGUCCAGAAAGGACUAGCAUGAUAUAUUGAAGGUUAUAAAUGGUAAAAAUAUGCAGCCAAGAAUAUUUUAUCUGGCAAUCCUGUCAUUCAGAAUAGGAGAGAUAAAGAGUUCCCAAGACAAAGAGAAAGUAAAAAUUUAAUCACUAAACCAGCCCU
rnacentral:lncRNA from 1 species